GGGAUUUUAGUUUAAAAAAAACCAUAAUAUUGCUAAUUAUAAAUAUAGAUAAAUAAUACCUAUAAAUUCCA
rnacentral:tRNA from 1 species